GAUUGGCCGUCGUCAGCUCGUGUCGUGAGAUGUUGGGUUAAGUCCCGUAACGAGCGCAACCCCUAUCCCUAGUUGCUAGCAGUUCGGCUGAGAACUCUAGGGAGACUGCCGGUGACAAACCGGAGGAAGGUGGGGAUGACGUCAGGUCAUCAUGGCCCUUACGGCCAGGGCUACACACGUGCUACAAUGGUGCGCACAGAGGGCUGCAAACCCGCGAGGGGGAGCCAAUCUCACAAAACGCAUCGUAGUCCGGAUCGCAGUCUGCAACUCGACUGCGUGAAGUCGGAAUCGCUAGUAAUCGUGAAUCAGAAUGUCACGGUGAAUACGUUCCCGGGCCUUGUACACACCGCCCGUCACACCAUGGGAGUGGAUUGCACCAGAAGUGGUUAGUCUAACCUUCGGGAGGACGAUCACCACGGUGUGGUUCAUGACUGGGGUGAAGUCGUAACAAGGUAGCCGUAGAUCUUUCUAGAAGAUCUCCUACAAUAUUCUCAGCUGCCAUGGAAAAUCGAUGUUCUUCUUUUAUUCUCUCAAGAUUUUCAGGCUGUAUAUUAAAACUUAUAUUAAGAACUAUGCUAACCACCUCAUCAGGAACCGUUGUAGGUGGCGUGGGUUUUCUUGGCAAUCGACUCUCAUGAAAACUACGAGCUAAAUAUUCAAUAUGUUCCUCUUGACCAACUUUAUUCUGCAUUUUUUUUGAACGAGGUUUAGAGCAAGCUUCA
rnacentral:rRNA from 1 species